GACAGAGGGUGCAAGCGUUGUUCGGAAUUAUUGGGCGUAAAGCGCACGUAGGCGGCUCGUUAAGUCUAGUGUGAAAGCCCGGGGCUCAACCCCGGAAGUGCACCGGAAACUGGCGAGCUCGAGUCCCGGAGAGGGUGGUGGAAUUCCUGGUGUAGAGGUGAAAUUCGUAGAUAUCAGGAGGAACACCCGAGGCGAAGGCGACCACCUGGACGGUGACUGACGCUGAGGUGCGAAAGCGUGGGGAGCAAACAGG
rnacentral:rRNA from 1 species